rnacentral:rRNA from 1 species
UACGUAGGGGGCUAGCGUUGUCCGGAAUCAUUGGGCGUAAAGCGCGUGUAGGCGGCCCGAUAAGUCCGCUGUGAAAGUCGAGGGCUCAACCCUCGAAUGCCGGUGGAUACUGUCGGGCUCGAGUACGGAAGAGGCGAGUGGAAUUCCUGGUGUAGCGGUGAAAUGCGCAGAUAUCAGGAGGAACACCAAUUGCGAAGGCAGUUCGCUGGGACGUUACUGACGCUGAGACGCGAAAGCGUGGGGAGCAAACAGG